ACCUUUGCACAGUGGAAGUAUGCUAGCUGAUGAGGUUUAUCUGAGGUGCAAGUAUUGCUAAUUCAAAACUUUUCCCAAUACCCGGCCAUGAUGACUUGAAAUAUGGUCGACAUUGGCAAUUUUCGACAGUCUCUGCAGAGA
ensembl:snRNA RNU4-45P RNA, U4 small nuclear 45, pseudogene